GGUUAGAAGAGGAGGGAGGGUGCUGAAAAGAUCAUUACAAGCAGUUAUUGCCAGGAUAGCAACAUGGGUCUCUUGAUGGAAACAAAAAUUUGGGAGUAGUCUUCAAGUUUAGUUCAUUGGUCUUUGAAUUCUUCACAGUGCAGCACAGGAGCUAGACUUCCAGAUGCUCUCUGGGUCUGGAGCUCAAGUCUGGAUCACCAUAAAGAGUGUUGUGAGUCCUUGGGGGCCUUUGGACCCUCUCCCUUUCAAGGAGGAGGAUACAAAAAGGAUACAACAAUACUAAUCUAUAUCUUCACAACCAUUUGGACAAUGGAGCAAGGAAAGAAGGGAAAAAAGAUCCAACUCCAAAGCUCAAGAACCAUUGAAACUGUAAAGAAAAAGGCAAUCUUGUAUCUCUCUGCAAGAAGACAGGCAAUUCCCAAAUUAACUCAGAUAUAAUGUAGGAAGACUUCCACUCAUCCUAGAGGAGUUUUCUCCACCCACCAUAGAUACCCCCAAGAUAUCAGAAGAGAGGCAAAAUCCAGCUAGUUUUGCCAAUUUUAAGCAGGAAUUACUAUCUCUGCAGAGACAGUGACUUGCUUCAUCUGUGAAAUUGACUUCUUCAUCAGAACAGAAGCAUUUUUAAAAAUUAGGUCCCCCUAACUUUUAAACUGUAUAAAUGUCCCUUGCUACAUACAAAUGCUGCAGAGGGGUUGGAACUUCCCUACCCUAUCCAAAUAUCCAGGACCAACACACCAAAAGGAAAAUUCACACAGGUUUCUCCAUAACAAAAUUUGAUGAGGCAGAGACAUUUUUGCAGAAACUCUUGCUGCAAUUAAGUCAAACUUUUGUUUUAAUGCCAUGGAUUUCAAGGAACAUUCUCUAGGGGUUUUCCAUAAAAGGUUCUGAAAUCAUCUCUGUCCCAUUUCAUGGGAACUUUGUGGUUAAUGGGUAUUAUCCAUAUUUAGUCAUAGUGUCAGCAAAAGAUUUCCGAGGUAGAACAUUCUGGAUGCAGGCUCCACUUGUAUAAUUAGUAGGACUCAGCUCUCUCCUUGAGCUGAAUCUUAGUAUAUUUGUGUAUAUGAGUUUAUAUGUUUUAACUUUUAUGAUGGAAAGUUGCAAACAUAAAAGCAGAAAGUAUGGGGCACUUGGCUGACUCAGUGGGUUAAGCCCCUGCCUUUGGCUCAGGUCAUGAUCCUAGAGUCCUGGGAUCGAAUCCCACAUCA